rnacentral:pre_miRNA from 1 species
GAUUUCAAUUGAAAAAGUCAUCAACAACAAAGAUGUAUACCUCAUCAAGAUCUAUAACUUUUAUUUUGGUCAUUUCUUCAUCCGAUAAAGUGAUAAUAACAUUGUUCACAAAAUUCAUAUAUCUCUCAUCUGGUUUGUAAACUAUAACACAGAUAUGUCAAUUUUGUGAACAAUGUUACGAACACUUUAUCAGAUGAAGAAAUAACAAAUAUAAAAGUUAUAGAUCUUGAUGAGUUAUACAACUUUGUUGUUGAUAACUUUUUUAGUUGAAAUC